UACGUAGGGGGCAAGCGUUGUUCGGAAUUACUGGGCGUAAAGGGCGCGUAGGCGGUUCGUUAAGUCCUGUGUGAAAUCCCCCGGCUCAACUGGGAACUGCACAGGAAACUAGCGGGCUUGAGUUCGGGAGAGGGAAGCGGAAUUCCGGGUGUAGCGGUGAAAUGCGUAGAUAUCCGGAGGAACACCGGUGGCGAAGGCGGCUUCCUGGACCGACACUGACGCUGAGGCGCGAAAGCUAGGGGAGCAAACGGG
rnacentral:rRNA from 1 species